AGACACACGUUCACACAGCCGAGAGGCGAGAGAGCGAAACCACCACUAGGGUCAUUGGCACGGGUCCCCGGACAGGGGCGGAGACCACCUGUUGGGAGAGGAAAGCAAGGAAGCCAUGUAGGAGCCUCUCCAUGAAAAGGAUUUCAUAAAAGGAGGAAGGGCUGGGAGCCGAGCACCUGGAGCCAUUUUACAGGGAAGCUCGGAUGUGGUGAGCCUUUCCUCAUUUCUCCACCUCUAGGGUCACGGUCACAGGAGGCAGGGCAACCCUAGCUCUACCCCGCCCCCAGCACUACACCUCGCCCGGGCAAACGCCCAUUGCAUCAGCAGCUCCUACCGCUUCCACCGGCGCCCUACCUGCCAAGCCCAGGCAGGAGGGGGAAAGAAAAGAAACUUUACUCCAGUCCCCCUUUUCUUAACCUUCCUUUCACCCCAGGGUCCGAACAGCCCCCGAGACGGCUCCCAAGCCUCCAUCCUCGGGGAAACCGGCGGAGAUCUCACAGCUCGGCCGGUGCAGGAAUUCAAGAGUAUGCUAAUGGUCUUUCACAUGAUGGCCUGUGAAUACAUGGGAAUGAAAAUUGCUGGGCUCGGUUCUGCGAUGUAUGGCCUCUGACGGGGGCAUUCCAGCCCUGUGUGGAAUGACUGGGACAUACAGUGUGUGUAACCCUCUGACACCAACCCAAAGAGCUGUAAGAAGAAACCUGACUCGUUUCUCCUGUCCUGAGGAAUGCUCAAGUUACUUCUUUGAACCCAUCCCACCUCCUGCAACUCCUGUCAUCUUUUCUUUGCCAUUUUGGGUUGCAUGUGAAUUGCUAUUGUAAAGAAAAUGUGAUUUAAGCUACUGAUCACUAAGGAGUAUUCCACCUAUUGACAGACAAGCAAAAAACAGUCAUAAAUGCUCCAAAAAUAGGGAGUCAGAGAUACUUCGCUAAGAUUCUCUAACACCAACAGGAAAUAGAACUAUUUCCCAAUCCUCCAUCGAUCCAGUGCCGUGGAUGGACACAACGUCUCAGGUGCCCACCUCCUUCCACCUGCUCCUGCUGAGUCUCCAUCCAGAAGGCUGCCCUUCCACACUCCACACCAUCAGCUCUUCUCUCUAGUUUCCCUGUGUCUGCCCUUCCCUGGAACUGUGUUCACACCCCAUUCAAGACCUCAACACCCCGACACGCUCUGUUCUGCCGACAGGCUCCCUGUGAGGCUGUGCCCUCCACGCAGGCGGCACCGGGGAUGCAAUCCCAGCAAACAUGCACCAGGCUCCUGGGUUCCGGACAUGCUCUUUCACGGAAUCCUCACAUCUGCCCUUCGGUGCACUGUUACCUACACUGUACGGAUGAAGAAACUGAGGCACCACAAUUUUCAGCAUUUUUACCGAAAGUCUCAAAGGUCCAAGCAGCAGAGCCAGAAUCCGAACUUAGUCUGACUCGGGGGUCUCUGUUCUUCUCUGCACGAGCCGUGUUGGCCCUGGAUAGAAUCCCUGCCUCCGCACAGGUGUUCUGAAAGUGCUUGUUGAGUUAACUGGAACAAACACCCAAAGCUAUACUUAGGAAGUUUUAACUUCAUGGACUGUAGACUCUUAUGUGAAGGAGAUGCUGAUGUAAUGAGUUUGCACCCAUGAGGCGUAGAAGAAAGCUAGGCUUCACAUGUUUUGUUUUGUUUUAAGAAUGUAUUUAUUUAUUUGAGAGAGAGCAUGAGGGUGGGGGAGGAACCGAGGGACAGGGACAAGCAGGUUCUGCACUGAGCGUAGAGCCCAACAGGGGCCUCAAGGCCAGGACCCUGAGAUCCUCACCUGAGCAGAAAUCAAGAGUCACAAGUCGGUUGCGAACAGACUGAGCUGCCCAGGCGCCCCACGUUUAACGCUUUAAAGUCAUUCUGCCAUCAUAUAUAUCAGAAUUUGUGUAGGAUCCUUUUUCCAUUCAGAUACUUUCCUAGCAUGAUGUGAACACACACAACCACAUACUCUACACGUUCCACACACUUCACGUUCCUAGGCAGGCACAAGCCGGGAGGACUGCGGGGGUGGGGGGCGGGUAAGAUUGCAACACCUCUUUCCGUGUUCUGGUAAGAAAUUCCAACAGCUCUCAUUUAAAACGUUCCCUUUGGUGGGAAGCGCCUCACCACGCAGCACAGAGGAAUGAGAUAAGUGUUAUGGCCGUUGGACUUGACUGUAGUUUAACCCCAAGGUCACUGGGAGGUCAGAGCUAAAGAAGGGAGUGAAUGUUGGCCUCUGAGCCCGCUGAGCCUCCUGGCACGUUCACUCCCCCUGUUGGCUUUCCCAAGGAGUGCUGUGUCAGCCUGUACCAGCCCUUCUCGGGGCUGCCAUUCUCCCCCCAGGAAGGGAACCAACCCCGCACCGCAUUCCUCAAAGCUUGGGCACCUCCCUGAAUGGCCCUCACUCCUCUUUGCCCAUGAAGCCCGUCUCCAGUUCACACAAAAGACUCUUUCAGAAACUGGUUACCUAGAUUUGAACUUUUCAACGAGGCUUUUUAUUUUUUUUUCCUCUAAGCUCUGCAGCUCAAAUACCAAAUUCUGCUGUUGCUAAGAUUAAGGAUUUUCUCCCUUAGCUCAGUUUCCAUUGACUAGGAAAGACCAGGAGAUGGAUUACUGUUCUCUUGCCGAAAGCAGACAGGGUGCUUGAGCUUCUGGGGCUAACACGGGGAUUCGACAUUAUUCAGGCCUGUGCUAAUAGUCCUUAGUUACUCCUCAAGCUCUCACAAAAGUCACACGCAUUUGUGUCGGUAACUAAGGCCUACGGAAACCACUCAGCCUUAAGUGCACACAGGAGAACCAUGGAGUCGGAGUAAAAGGUAAUUUAACAUGAAUAUUUAUAUACUGUACGUACUGCGUGCCAUGAUUCACUCAGCGUAUUUUCAGUUUAUGCAUUUGCUUCCCAUUUGCAGUCUUUAUUUAUUACAAAGUUAAGGCCGUUAGCGAAAUAACACAUCAGAGUGGGUUUUCUCCCCCACCCACCCCCGUCUUUAAAAAAUUUUCCUGCUUUCUAAUCUAUUUCUGGGGAAGUGUGCCAAUAUAGCAACAAAACCGGUCACAGCUGCCAAACCUCAGAGAGAUUCACGGAGUAUUGUACUGCGUGGAGUCUUUGCCAGGCCCGUACGACGGAGGGCUGUGCCCGGCCACCACGUGAGCCCUGUGGCUACGGAGCUGGGGCAGCUCCUAUCCAUCACCUUUAGUGACAGGAAUCACCCGCCGCGCUUUCA